rnacentral:rRNA from 2 species
AGUAACGGCGAGUGAAGAGGGAAGAGCUCAAAUUUGAAAUCUGGUGGCCUACGGUCAUCCGAGUUGUAAUCUAGAGAAGUGUUUUCCGUGCUGGACCGUGUACAAGUCCUUUGGAACAAGGCGUCAUAGAGGGUGAGAAUCCCGUCUACGACACGGACUACCAGUGCUCUGUGAUACACUCUCAACGAGUCGAGUUGUUUGGGAAUGCAGCUCAAAAUGGGUGGUAAAUUCCAUCUAAAGCUAAAUAUGGGCGAAAGACCGAUAGCGAACAAGUACCGUGAGGGAAAGAUGAAAAGCACUUUGGAAAGAGAGUUAAACAGUACGUGAAAUUGUUGAAAGGGAAACGCUUGAAGUCAGUCGCGUCUUCAGAAAUUCAGCCUGGCUUCUGCCUGGUGUACUUUUCUGUAGGACGGGCCAGCAUCAGUUUUGGCCGCCAGAAAAAGGUGAGAGGAAGGUGGCACCUCCGGGUGUGUUAUAGCCUCUUGUCGUAUGUGGCGGCUGGGACUGAGGAUCGCAGCAUGCCUUUAUGGCCGGGGUUCGCCCACGUAACGUGCUUAGGAUGCUGGCGUAAUGGCUUUAAG